rnacentral:tRNA from 1 species
CCUCUGUAGCUCAGUUGGUUAUAGCGCUGCACCGGAAUCGCAGGGCCGUAGGUUCAAUUCGGACAAUUCCUACCAGAGG